rnacentral:rRNA from 1 species
AUUGAACGCUGGCGGUAUGCUUAACACAUGCAAGUCGAACGGCAGCAUGGUCUAGCUUGCUAGACUGAUGGCGAGUGGCGGACGGGUGAGUAACGCGUAGGAAUAUGCCUUGAAGAGUGGGACAACUUGGGGAAACUCAAGCUAAUACCGCAUGUACUCGAGAGAGUAAAGCUGAGGACCUUCAGGCCUGGCGCUUUAAGAUUAGCCUGCGUCCGAUUAGCUAGUUGGUAGGGUAAAGGCCUACCAAGGCGACGAUCGGUAGCUGGUCCGAGAGGAUGAUCAGCCACACUUGAACGGAGAGACGGUCCAGACUCCGACGGGACGCAGCAGUGGGGAAUAUUGGGCAAUGGGGGGAACCCUGAUCCAGCAAUGCCGCGUGUGUGAAGAAGGCCUGAGGGUUGUAAAGCACUUUCAGUGGGGAGGAGGUUUGGAAGGUUAAGAGCUAUUCAAAUGGACGUUACCCACAGAAGAAGCACCGGCUAACUCCGUGCCAGCCGCCGCCGUAA